rnacentral:rRNA from 1 species
GACGAACCGUGCGAACGUUGUUCGGAAUCACUGGGCUUAAAGGGCGCGUAGGCGGGCCCGCAAGUCAGGGGUGAAAUCCCACGGCUCAACCGUGGAAGUGCCUUUGAUACUGCGGAUCUCGAGGGAGGUAGGGGCGUGCGGAACUUCCGGUGGAGCGGUGAAAUGCGUAGAUAUCGGAAGGAACACCGGUGGCGAAGGCGGCAUCCUGGACCGAUAUUGACGCUGAGGAGCGAAAGCCAGGGGAGCAAAUGGG